rnacentral:lncRNA from 1 species
GUUGUUUUGACUAUAGAAUAUCCUGGGCCAUUUAGGACCAGUUAUUUUCUCUUAGCCAGAAGUAUCUCAAACAACUGGUAUAAGGAGAAAAAUUAGGACAGAUCUCAUAUAAGCUACUACUAUCAGAGACAGGAUAUAAAUUCAGACUGUAAUGAGAAGAAGAAAAAGAAGAAGAAGAAACUUCUGCGAACCAGGAAAGAAAGAAAUGAUUUGCAUCAGAAAUUUGCUGUGAACCAUCCAUUAAAGCACAAGGAAAAAGUUCUGGGAGAAAACUCAAAUAACUGUCAAAAGUGUCAAGAGAUUCCUAAAGGAAAACAGAUUGUUCCCUUGACUGAAUGUGAGUUCAGGAUCAAGAAUCCCAGUCCCCUCCUGAUAUCCACGAUUCCUCUAUCACCAAUACAGAAAAACAGCUUCACCACAUCAACCAUCAAACAGCUUCCUGCUCCAUUUUAUGUGCAUUCCAAUGGAGAAUCUAAUGGGAAACAGGAUGCAGGUACCUCUCUUCCAUCAUCCUGCCCUGGAGUCAAACGGUACAGGUCCUUGUGGUGGAACCCUGAAGUACCUUCUGUGACUUCAAUGCUACGUCGAAGUCUCUCUUUGAAAUCUCAGAUUGUAUUAGGCAAUAGACCUAGGUGGCACUUGAGUCAAAGCAGAUCACAGGUUCUUCCUCAUCGAGAAUUCAUAUGGAAGCCUUUCCAAAUUGACCCCAUACUUCUCAGGACAGAGAAUGAAUACUGUGCCAAUACCAAGGGACUACAUAAAGUAAUCGGUCAAAAAUAC